AACUGGGAUUAGAUACCCCACUAUGCCUAGCCGUAAACAUCGAUAACACAUUACAUUUGUUAUCCGCCAGGGUACUACGAGCAUAAGCUUAAAACCCAAAGGACUUGGCGGUGCUUUAGAUCCACCUAGAGGAGCCUGUUCUAGAACCGAUAAUCCCCGUUAAACCUCACCCUUCCUUGUUUUUCCCGCCUAUAUACCGCCGUCGUCAGCUUACCCUGCGAAGGACCAACAGUAAGCAAAAUUGGCACAGCCCAAAACGCCAGGUCGAGGUGUAGCGUAUGGAAGGGGAAGAAAUGGGCUACAUUCAAUAUUACACUGAACACGAAUGGUGGCCUGAAAUACCCACCUGAAGGAGGAUUUAGCAGUAAGCAGGAAAUAGAGAGUCCCGCUGAAAUUGGCCCUGAAGCGCGUACACACCGCCCGUCACUCUCCC
rnacentral:rRNA from 1 species